rnacentral:lncRNA from 1 species
GGCGAUCCACUUUGAACUCUUUCUAAACAUAUCUUAUGAAAAAAAUUGAACAAAAAAUGUUUUUCCCUCAAAUCUGAGAUCUAUACUCCUUUCACUGGAUGCUAUAAAUUUUCCAUUGUGCUCCUCAUCAUUGGGAAGUGGAUUACACUUGCAAUAAGAAAACACCCAACCAAACACAUAUCAUAAAUCUCUAUCGGCGCAUCUUUGUUGUUAUUGACCGCUAAGAUCUCAUCCUCAUCAUCUUCUAGUGUGAGAUUUGC